CCUACGGGAGGCAGCAGUGGAGAAUAUUUCACAAUGGGGGAAACCCUGAUGCAGCGACGCCGCGUGAGCGAAGGAGUAUUUCCGUAUGUAAAACUCUAUCAGCAGGGGAGAAAAUGACGGUAACUGAGUAAGAAGCUCCGGCUAAAUACGUGCCAGCAGCCGCGGUAAUACGUAUGGAGCAAGCGUUAUCCGGAUUUACUGGGCGUAAAGGGAGCGUAGGCGGCUUGCCAAGUCUGAUGUGAAAUACCGGGGCUCAACCCCGGGGCUGCAUUGGAAACUGGCAGGCUGGAGUGACGGAGAGGCAGGCGGAAUUCCUAGUGUAGCGGUGAAAUGCGUAGAUAUUAGGAGGAACACUAGUGGCGAAGGCGGCUUGCUGGACGGUGACUGACGCUGAGGCUCGAAAGCGUGGGGAGCAAACAGGAUUAGAUACCCGAGUAGUC
rnacentral:rRNA from 1 species